AGAGAUAUUUACAGAGCCUGAUUCACGCCAAACACUCUGGAAAAGUGUUCCCUGUUGCCUAAUUUGAAGGUCAUGGCUAAAUGAUAGAGGCAGUCCAAAAAGCGGAGUGAAUGCUCAGCUGUGAUGACGUACUUCAAGCCAUCAUGGGAGAUGGAGCUAUCAUUCACGUGUCUCAUCAGACAAGUUGCAAGAUGCUCCCAAGUGACACCUCAUUACCUGUAUGCACGUAGCUUCAAGAGAGAACAUCAGACUGAAGGCCGGAUACUAUGAAGUACUAUGCAUGCCGUCCUGAAAGCUGCUGCGCUUCUGGGGAGCUACCCAAAAGGAACCAGAGUUAGAAUACAGCAGGAACCAAGUACGCUCGAGCAGGUCACCUCCACACCAUCUGGAAAGCCAUCAUGAAGGUGCUGUGCUGCUAUUUUUAUUACCAAGAAUCAUGUGGACUCUAAUGAAGAAUACUAAAGUUUCACUGAGUGUAAUAUCUCUAUGUACAACAGAAUGGAAAGAGCCAUCCCGGGCUUCCUGGAUGCCGGUGUCAGCUCGUUCGCGAUAAGGAAGGCUGAGGAAGAUGCCGUUAUGGUUUAACGUAUCUCAAGGGCCAGAAUUGGUUUAGAAAGGGCAGAGUGGAAACACAUAAAGAGAAGAUCAUGGGCGAGCGGGAAGCUAUCACCUAGCUUUGAUGCUGUGCUUUGUGGAUGAUUCAACUCUGGGUGAUAGGGUUGAACAGCUCUGCACCUCCCAGGCCAGAACACUGGCAAUGCCAAUCCCUUAGCAAUGUCCUCAGCGUUGGAAAAUCCAAGCAGUGGAGAAAGUGCUCCUCAACCGCGGGCCUGCAGCACCAUUGUGAGGUGCAGGUUGUGCAAAUGGGCAGGCAACCAGUGACACUGAAUCAGAGUUAGUUACAGAGAGCAAACAAGUGUGCAUCCUGCAUUAUACAAGAAUGCAUCAUUCUCUAUUUACGCAUGUAGUUCUGUUCUCAGACAUAUUACGAGCCAUGCAUAUGGUAUAAAGUUUCCAUUCAUCCAUCUGUUCACAGAAGAUAUUGAACCAGAUAACGUGAUAAACUCAAGAUACAAACAUGGAAAAGAAUACGGUCCCUGUCUUCUAGGAAUUUACAGGCGAAGGAGAAGAGACAGCAAGAAACUGGUUCUGACUAUACUGAAAACCAUCUUGAAGGAGGUUUGAAGCAUGGCCUUUUGCUCUGUCUAGUUCUGAGUCAGCUGAGAGUCACAGGGGAGAAACACACAGCAACAGGUGGGUGCUAUUUGUGAUAAAAACUGUUUUGAAGGGCCCAGCCAUCUUGGCUCAGUGGUUGAGUGUCAGCCUAUGAACCAGGAGGUCACAGUUCAAUUCCCAGUCAGGACACAUGCCGUGUUGUGGGCUAGAUACCCAGUGUGGGGUGUGCAGGAGGCAGCUGGUCAAUGAUUUUCUCUCAUCAUU